UGGGGAAUCUUAGACAAUGGGCGCAAGCCUGAUCUAGCCAUGCCGCGUGAGUGAUGAAGGUCUUAGGAUCGUAAAGCUCUUUCGCCUAGGGAUGAUAAUGACAGGUACCUAGAUAAAGAAGCCCCGGCUAACUCCGUGCCAGCAGCCGCGGUAAUACGGAGGGGGCUAGCGUUGUUCGGAAUUACUGGGCGUAAAGCGUACGUAGGCGGAUCAGAAAGUAUGGGGUGAAAUCCCAGGGCUUAACCCUGGAACUGCCUCAUAAACUCCUGGUCUUGAGUUCGAGAGAGGUGAGUGGAAUUCCAAGUGUAGAGGUGAAAUUCGUAGAUAUUUGGAGGAACAUCCAGUGGCGAAGGCGGCUCACUGGCUCGAUACUGACCGCUGAGGUACGAAAGUGUGGGGAGCAAACCAGGAUUAGGAUACCCUGGUAGUCCACCACCGUAAACGAUGAAUGCUCAGUCGUUCGGGCCAGUAUAUCUGUUUCGGUGAGCACACCUAACGGAUUAAGCAUUCCGCCUGGGGAGUACGGUCGCAAGAUUA
rnacentral:rRNA from 1 species